GAUGAAGAACGCAGCGAAAUGCGAUAAGUAAUGUGAAUUGCAGAAUUCAGUGAAUCAUCGAAUCUUUGAACGCACCUUGCGCCCUUUGGCCAUUCCGAAGGGCAUGCCUGUUUGAGUAUCAUGAACACCCCAACUCUCAUGGCUCGCCAUGAUGAGCUUGGACUUUGGGGGUCUUGCUGGCCUGUGGUCGGCUCCUCUCAAAUGGAUCAGCUUGCCAGUGUUUGGUGGCAUCACAGGUGUGAUAACUAUCUGCGCUUGUGGUUUUCCAUCAGAUAACCUUCAGUGAUGGAGGUUCGCUGGAGCUCAUAAACGUCUCCCCUAAGCGGGGACAGCCCUUUGAAUGUUUGAUCUCAAAUCAGGUAGGACUACCCGCUGAACUUAAGCAUAUCAAUAAGCGGAGGA
rnacentral:misc_RNA from 1 species